rnacentral:tRNA from 1 species
AAUAAAGUGCCUGAAUAAAGGAUUAUUCUGAUAGAAUAAAUAAUGUAAUUUUUUUACCUUUAUUA